AGUCCAUGGUAAGGACAUUUGCUUUGCAACUCCUUAAGCCUCUGUCAUGCCUCAUAUAUUGAUUCACAUUCUUGUUGAACAAAACCCAUUAUAUCCAUACUUAGUUU